UACGUAGGGUGCGAGCGUUGUCCGGAAUUAUUGGGCGUAAAGGGCUCGUAGGCGGUUUGUCGCGUCGGGAGUGAAAACCCAGGGCUUAACUCUGGGCUUGCUUUCGAUACGGGCAGACUAGAGGUAUGCAGGGGAGAACGGAAUUCCUGGUGUAGCGGUGAAAUGCGCAGAUAUCAGGAGGAACACCGGUGGCGAAGGCGGUUCUCUGGUACGGCACUGACGCUGAGACGCGAAAGCGUGGGGAGCGAACAGG
rnacentral:rRNA from 1 species